CCCCCCGUUAUUUUUGUCGCCUUCAUCCUCCUUCCCUCUCUCUCUUUAUUCCAAAUUUAACAUUUCGACCAUUUUUCAUGGGCAGGUGGCUGCGGGGACCAAUACUCUCGGCAUCCCCACCUCAGUUCUCCGCUGUAAGCGCGAUUCUUCCACCGUCAAAGUAGCAGCUCCUCCAAGAAUUGCAGGAGCUCAUAAUCCUGGAAGAUGGUAUUGACGAAUAUAGAUGCCUGCGGCGCCGCACUUUGCCUGUAAAUCGCAUGAUUAGAUUUAUGAAGGGGUGCCUGCCUUAUUUGCUUAACCAUAAUGAAACUCUGAUUUUGUAAUGAUUGGCCAGUCAUCUUCGUUAAAAAAAACUUUUUUAACAAGGGGUUCAGUCCUUUUUUUGUUUUUUGGUUAAUUGUUCAAUAGAGUUAACCUUCCAACUGAUGCUCAAUUUUUUUUUAUCAACAUUUUGAUAUUUGCUAUAUUUAUAGUGGAUCACACAUGCCUUGGGUCUAAGUGUUUACAAUAUUUAAGCCUGGACUUUUGUUUUAGAGAGUUGUACGUAAGUUCUAAAUAAAAAUUUGACUGCUUGUAAGAA